UACGAAGGGGGCUAGCGUUGCUCGGAAUCACUGGGCGUAAAGCGUGCGCAGGCGGUGAUGUAAGACAGGUGUGAAAUCCCCGGGCUUAACCUGGGAACUGCAUUUGUGACUGCAUCGCUGGAGUGCGGCAGAGGGGGAUGGAAUUCCGCGUGUAGCAGUGAAAUGCGUAGAUAUGCGGAGGAACAUCGAUGGCGAAGGCAAUCCCCUGGGCCUGCACUGACGCUCAUGCACGAAAGCGUGGGGAGCAAACAGG
rnacentral:rRNA from 1 species